rnacentral:rRNA from 1 species
AUUGAACGCUGGCGGCGUGCCUAACACAUGCAAGUCGAGCGGCAGCGCGGGAGCAAUCCUGGCGGCGAGCGGCGGACGGGUGAGUAAUGCUUGGGAAUCUGCCUGUUAGUGGGGGACAACCCGGGGAAACUCGGGCUAAUACCGCAUACGCACUACGGUGGAAAGCCGGGGACCGCAAGGCCUGGCGCUAACAGAUGAGCCCAAGUCGGAUUAGCUAGUUGGUAGGGUAACGGCCACCAAGGCGACGAUCCGUAACUGGUCUGAGAGGACGACCAGUCACACCGGAACUGAGACACGGUCCGGACUCCUACGGGAGGCAGCAGUGGGGAAUAUUGGACAAUGGGGGAAACCCUGAUCCAGCGGCGCCGCGUGGGUGAAGAAGGCCUGCGGGUUGUAAAGCCCUUUCAGUGGGGGAAGAAAGACCUCGACCUAACACGGUCGGGGUCUUGACGUAACCCCAUAGAAGAAGCACCGGCUAACUCUGUGCCAGCCG